rnacentral:lncRNA from 1 species
UGUGUAUGAGUCGAUCCUAUAAGUCAACCUCUGCAGCAAUGCAGGCCAAACUUACAGAACAGUCGUUUUCUGUUCUGUGCCACAGAGGUCGAUCCUAUGAGUCUACCCCUGUGCAUGAGUCGACCCUAUGAGUUGACCUCUACUGCAAUAUAAGCUAAAUUUACAGAAGUCAUUUUCUGUUCUGUGCCACAGAAGUCAA